CCUACGGGAGGCAGCAGUGAGGAAUAUUGGUCAAUGGGCGCGAGCCUGAACCAGCCAAGUAGCGUGAAGGAUGACUGCCCUACGGGGGGUAAACUUCUUUUAUAAAGGAAUAAAGUGAGGCACGUGUGCCUUUUUGUAUGUACUUUAUGAAUAAGGAUAGGCUACCGCCGUGCCAGCAGCCGCGGUAAUACGGAGGAUCCGAGCUUUAUCCGGAUUUAUUGGGUUUCAAGGGAGCGUAGAUGGGUUGUUAAGUCAGUUGUGAAAGUUUGCGGCUCAACCGUAAAAUUGCAAGUGAUACUGGCAGCCUUGAGUACAGUUGCGGUAGGCGGACUUCGUGUUGUAGCGGU
rnacentral:rRNA from 1 species